GGGUUGUGAGGUUAAGCGACUAAGCGUACACGGUGGAUGCCCUGGCAGUCAGAGGCGAUGAAGGACGUGCUAAUCUGCGAUAAGCGUCGGUAAGGUGAUAUGAACCGUUAUAACCGGCGAUUUCCGAAUGGGGAAACCCAGUGUGAUUCGUCACACUAUCAUUAACUGAAUCCAUAGGUUAAUGAGGCGAACCGGGGGAACUGAAACAUCUAAGUACCCCGAGGAAAAGAAAUCAACCGAGAUUCCCCCAGUAGCGGCGAGCGAACGGGGAGGAGCCCAGAGCCUGAAUCAGUGUGUGUGUUAGUGGAAGCGUCUGGAAAGGCGCGCGAUACAGGGUGACAGCCCCGUACACAAAAAUGCACAUGCUGUGAGCUCGAUGAGUAGGGCGGGACACGUGGUAUCCUGUCUGAAUAUGGGGGGACCAUCCUCCAAGGCUAAAUACUCCUGACUGACCGAUAGUGAACCAGUACCGUGAGGGAAAGGCGAAAAGAACCCCGGCGAGGGGAGUGAAAAAGAACCUGAAACCGUGUACGUACAAGCAGUGGGAGCA
rnacentral:rRNA from 1 species